rnacentral:misc_RNA from 1 species
CUUCCUCAACCUUCUCGGUCUUUGCGAUCGGGAAAGGCUUGGACUUUGGGGGUUUUUGCUGGCCUCUCUCGAAGCCAGCUCCCCUUAAAUGGAUUAGUGGGGUUCGCUUUGCCGAUCCUCGACGUUGAUAAGAUGUUUCUACGUCUUGGGCUAGGCACCUGCUUCUAACCGUCUCGAGAGAGACAAUGCGUUUUGGA